CGGGGUGCAGCAGGCGCGAAACCUUUGCAAUGUGCGCAAGCACGACGAGGUUAAUCCGAGUGUUUCCUGCUAAAGGAAUCUUUUGUUAGUCGUAAAACCACUGAUGAAUAAGGGGUGGGCAAGUUCUGGUGUCAGCCGCCGCGGUAAAACCAGCACCUCAAGUGGUCAGGAGGAUUAUUGGGCCUAAAGCAUCCGUAGCCGGCUCUGCAAGUUUUCGGUUAAAUCCAUUUGCUUAACAAAUGGGCUGCCGAAAAUACUACAUAGCUAGGGAGUGGGAGAGGUAGACGGUAUUCGGUAGGAAGGGGUAAAAUCCUUUGAUCUGUUGAGGACCACCUAUGGCGAAGGCAGUCUACCAGAACACGUUCGACGGUGAGGGAUGAAAGCUGGGGGAGCAAACCGGAUUAGGUACCCGGGUAGUCCCAGCUGUAAACGAUGCAGACUCGGUGAUGCACUGGCUUGUGGCCAGUGCAGUGCCGCAGGGAAGCCGUUAAGUUUGCCGCCUGGGAAGUACGUACGCAAGUAUGAAACUUAAAGGAAUUGGCGGGGGAGCAC
rnacentral:rRNA from 2 species